UGCGUAGGUGGUUUGAUAAGUCAGAGGUGAAAGCCCACCGCUUAACGGUGGAAUUGCCUUUGAUACUGUCAGACUUGAAUAAGGUUGAGGUCGGCGGAAUGUGUCAUGUAGCGGUGAAAUGCAUAGACAUGACAUAGAACACCAAUUGCGAAGGCAGCUGGCUAGACCUUUAUUGACACUGAGGCACGAAAGCGUGGGGAGCGAACAGGAUUAGAUACCCUGGUAGUCC
rnacentral:rRNA from 1 species